rnacentral:rRNA from 1 species
GACGAACGCUGGCGGCGUGCUUAACACAUGCAAGUCGAACGGAGAGGCCCUGCUUUUGUGGUUUGCUCGAGUGGCGAACGGGUGAGUAACACGUGAGUAACCUGCCCUUGACUUUGGGAUAACUUCAGGAAACUGGGGCUAAUACCGGAUAGAAGCUCCGGCGGCAUGGUGGGGGUUGGAAAGUUGCGGCGGUUGGGGAUGGACUCGCGGCUUAUCAGCUUGUUGGUGGGGUGGUGGCUUACCAAGGCUUUGACGGGUAGCCGGCCUGAGAGGGUGACCGGCCACAUUGGGACUGAGAUACGGGCCAGACUCCUACGGGAGGCAGCAGUGGGGCAUAUUGCACAAUGGGCGGAAGCCUGAUGAAGCAACGCCGCGUGCGGGAUGACGGCCUUCGGGUUGUAAACCGCUUUCGCCUGUGACGAAGCGUGAGCGACGGUAAUGGGUAAAGAAGCACCGGCUAACUACGUG